rnacentral:misc_RNA from 1 species
CGCAGUGAUGACAGCAAUCAGA